UGUUGUCUCACAAAACACGGGUCGGUCGGGACAGAAAGGUUUCUCUUGGUAUUGAAAACCUUUGAACACACGAGACACGUGGAAACAACGGCUGCAGUAUAACGUGUCAGCUGAUCAGACAGGAACUAGAAAACAGCUCCUCAGCAGCGUCCUCUUCACUUCACAACCUUGCUCCUGCUGGAUCAGGUGAGAGGAUCCAAAACUAGCAUGAAGAUGCUGCUUUUUACCGUAUGAACCCUCACGGCCUCUGCGCUCCUCUGGCAGGCGUCUCCUGGUCAUCCCUAAAGUCAGGACACACACUCACGGCGAGGCGUCCUUCCAGUAUCACCGCCCUCGCCUCUGGAACGAGCUGCCAGAGGACCUCAGGGCCGCAGAGAACGUUGAUGUUUUUAAGUCCAGGCUCAAGACCCGUCUUUUUAGUGAGUCGUGGAGGAUGGCUGCUUAUACUGAGCCAGGAUUCUCUGGAGGUUUCUUCCUGUUAAAAAGGAGUUUUCCUCUCCACUGUCGCUGCAUGCUUGCUUAGAAUGAGGAUUGCUGUAUAGUCACUGACACUAGUCAUGUGAAGUGCCUUGAGACGACUCUUGUCGUGAUUUGGCGCUUUAUAAAUAAACUUGAAUUGAAUUGA